AAAGAUGGCAGGAGGGGGCCGGGCAGUAGCGCAGCGGGUUAAGCGCAGGUGGCGCAAAGCACAAGGUCGGCAUAAGGAUCCCGGUUCGAGCCCCUGGCUCCCCACCUGCAGGGGAGUCGCUUCACAGGCGGUGAAGCAGGUCUGCAGAUGUCUGUCUUUCUCUGCCCCUCUCUGUCUUCCCCUCCUCUCUCCAUUUCUCUCUGUCCUAUCCAACAAUGACAACAUCAAUAACAAUAAUAACUACAACAACAAUGAAAAACAACAAGGACAACAAAA